AGCAAAGUGAAAAUGCUCACGAGUUUAUCCACUUCCAUACCGCACCGGGGGUUAGUAUGAAGGUGAGCAAAAUAGGGCCGAUGCCGUCGGGACCGACAAAAUCACCAAAUUUGCUCACUAGAAAGGGGCGAGAGCAAACAUGCACUGAAAAAAUUCUACCGUUUUGAGCAGAAAUAAACAAACGAUGUCGCAGCGUGUAGAUGUUUGUUGAUAUUUAUUUUAAGAAAAAAAUUGAAUCAGACUAAAAUUGUGGAUGGAUUUUUUUGUAAUAACCAGAUAAAUUCGCAAUUUCGUUACAUUUUUUCGGGUUUUUCCAGGAAUUGAACGAGAAAGUGUAAAUGCUGGUGAUGAUGAUAAACAAACUUGAAGCACAGAUGAACUUGAAGCAUCGUAAUUUGUGACCAAAAAUGGUCACUCGGAGUUUCUCGGAGUAAUAAUAAUCGAGACCAGUGCGCUGUGCAUGAUUUUUGUAUCCAACCGGCCAAUAUGGGUGGCAUUCCAGUACUGUCCCUACCGAUUCGGCUUUCGAAACGAGGUCUCUCAAUAAGUUUGGAACUAAUGGGACCCAGUUUUUCGGAGCAGCAAUUAUUUCAAUCAGUACGUUGGAUAGAAAAAGAAGUUGAUGAUUUUUUAGAAAAGUAUGAUUUUAAUAUAAAUAUAAUAAACAAAUAAAGUUGAAUUUUAGUUGAA